CAGUGAACCAAAAAUAGCGAAAGAAAGGGCUUGUGGAGUACGGAAGGAGAAACAAGUUCGCGGAGAGAGGGCUGGGCUGUUGGACUUGCUGGCUGGGAGCUACAGAUAUUUAGUCUGCCUGAGAGCACCUGCUCAGCCUUGAGAAGUCAACUUGAACUUCACUUCCACCUUGAAGCAUUUUCCUCCAUCCCCAGCCUGCUUUUCCCUGUGCUCUGAGAUCCCUUCUGCAGGGAAUCACCUUCUCUCCAAAUCCCUCUCAGGCUUCAACGGAACUUGACCCAAGACAGGAGCUCUCUGCUGCAGGCAGGGGGCAUCUGAGCAGAAUGGUUUCCAGAUUUCAAAGAUGAAGGCACAAGACACCUGUAAAGAUGGGACUGGGAGCGAAGAGGCAAAAGAAGCAGGGCUUUCAUGUGGCACUAUUUAGCCCCCCCGCCCCGAAGGCUUUGAUUCCUACCCAGAUCUUCACAAGGCUCAGACCCGUGCCUCCCCAUCCCGCUUUGCCCUCACGUUAGUCUCCUGGUGGCUCUUUCCACUCCAGUCAAAGUGACUUCUUUCUGAGUGAGAAAACAGAAGGGUUUCCAGAAUGGGAUGGGCAAAAUGUUGCCUGGGUUCACAUUCUAGCUCUGUUACUUCAUGGUUGUGUGACUUUGAACAAGUGGCUUAAUCUGUGUUCUAGUUGUUUUGUUCUGUUUUGCUUUGCUUUUGGGGGGCUGCAUUUGCAGCA